CAUUAGGCUGGCCUGAAACUGGCUGGCUGUGCACACCAGGCUGGCCUCAAAGGUCUGCCCGCCUCUGCUCAGUGUUCAGGGUAAAGGUGUGCAUUACCACACCCAGAUCCUUACUGAGGUUGGCUAUUUGCUUUUUAAAGACUUGCCAUUCGGGGCUGAAGAGAUGGCUCAGAGGUUAAGAGCACUGGCUGCUCUUUCAGAGGUCCUGAGUUCAGUUCCCAGCAACCACACGGUGGCUCAUAACUAUCUAUAGUGAGAUCCUGUGCCCUCUUCUGGCCUGCAGGUGUACAUGCAGACAAAACACUACAUAAUAAAUGUAUCUUUAAAACAAACCUUGUGGGCUGGAGAGAUGGCUCAGCGGUUAAGAGCAUCCGACUACUCUUCCAGAGGUCCUGAGUUCAAUUCCCAGCAACCACAUGGUGGCUCACAACCAUCUGUAAAGAGAUCUGAUGCCCUCUUCUGGUGUAUCUGAAGACAGCUAUAGUGUACUUAUAUAUAAUAAAUGAAUAAAUCUUUAAAAAAAAAAAAAACAA
rnacentral:lncRNA from 1 species